CAGCAGCCGCGGGAAUACGUAGGUGGCAAGCGUUGUCCGGAAUUAUUAGGCGUAAAGGGCUCGCAGGCGGUUUCUUAAGUCUGAUGUGAAAGCCCCCGGCUCAACCGGGGAGGGUCAUUGGAAACUGGGAAACUUGAGUGCAGAAGAGGAGAGUGGAAUUCCACGUGUAGCGGUGAAAUGCGUAGAGAUGUGGAGGAACACCAGUGGCGAAGGCGACUCUCUGGUCUGUAACUGACGCUGAGGAGCGAAAGCGUGGGGAGCGAACAGGAUUAGAUACCCCAGUAGUCCCUGUCUCUUAUAC
rnacentral:rRNA from 1 species